UGGAAGUAAAAGUCGUAACAAGGUAACCGUAGGUGAACCUGCGGUUGGAUCAUUAUGAAUUGAUAAGCAAGCUUUUCAAAGCUUGUCUUUGAUACUCUGUGAACCGUUAUUGUUUUUUCUGGCGAGUUACAGUGCGAAAGCAUUCCGAAAGGGUCUCGCCAGUAUUGUAUGCAUAUUCAUUUAUGCAUGCAAACCUUGAAAUUUAUUGUUUAUAACUGUCUUAAAUUAAAAUUUAAUUUUAAACAACUUUUGACAAUGGAUCUCUUGGCUCCCACAACGAUGAAGAACGCAGCGAAAUGCGAUAAGUAAUGUGAAUUGCAAAAUUCCGUGAAUCAUCAAAUCUUUGAACGCACUUUGCGCUCUAUUUUGCAGUAGAGCAUAUCUGUUUGAGAAUCAGUUUAAAUCUCAACACUGUUUUGUAGAAAUAUAAGACGGUGAUGGAGUUGAGAUUUCAUGGCGCUUUGUCAUGAAUCUUUAAUUGAAUUUGUCAGUCCGCUUGAGCAAUCAGUGGUCAUAUAACCAAGCUGCAAAGCAAAGUAUGUGAUUACGCUUGAACAAGUUUGGCAUUACUCUUUAACACGAAAGACUUAAACCUCUUUUAAGACUUGAUCUCAAAUCAGAUAAGACUACCCGCUGAACUUAAGCAUAUCAAUAAGCGGAGGCGU
rnacentral:rRNA from 1 species